UCCAGUCAGUUUGCUGUCGUUCUAUAUCUCCCGUGCCAGGAGUUGAAAAAUAAAGAAAAAGUUUUCUACAGAUACUAGGAUUAUUCCCACAGAUGGGAAGUGGAAAAUGUAAUCAUACUAUUUAAGAAAGGAGAGAAGCGAGAUAAUGAACUACAGACCGUUUAGCCUAACAUCAUGGCAGAGAAAAUGCCGGAACCUAUUAUUAAAGAAGUCAUAACAGGGCAUUUGGAAGAGCGUAGUGUAAAAUCCUGAUGACAGCACCAUCAGAGGAGUGGCCCUCUUUUGCAGAGAAGCAAACAGAUUACCAAAGCCACCAAGGAGUCCUGUAAAUUUGUAUUAAUGAUGCAUAAGAGCAAUAUUGUUCUAAGUGCAAGUCCAUUGAAUAUUCCAGUGCUUAACAAAUAUAAUGGUGUAACCUCUGGAGGUAAUGAGGGAAUCCAGGCCCAUUUAUUUAUUUGUCAUCUACUAUUCCUUAAAAACAUAAGAAAUAGGGGCA